rnacentral:lncRNA from 1 species
UGGUUAUGUUAAAUAUACUCAAUUACAUGCAUGGCUUCACCCUCACAGUACUUUCCAUUCUCCCAGCUGCUCACGUAUUCCUUAACUAUAGUCAGCAGAAGAAACUCGAUUAUGCUGAAUCCAUACAUUUCUAUGGAUUUCAUCAGCCUAAUUAAUGCUUCCGUGUGGUCCGGGCGUUUCAAUGGUCCCUUUGCUAUCACUCGGGGAAGGAGGCAGUGGAGGAAUGCGCCGAGCCUUUCUUUCCCAUGUCCCCGUGGGGUCACUCCAGGACUCGUGGCGAAGAGUCCAAAGGAUAUCCCGGCGUUGGAGAAACCUCUUCAGCUUUACACCCAGUGCCUUAUCACCAUCAGAAGUGGAAGAAGAACCUUAAAUGAAUGCAUAACAGCGUAA